GAUGAACGCUGGCGGUGUGCCUAAUACAUGUAAGUCGAGCGAACGGACGAGAAGCCCGCUUUUCAGAUGUUAGCGGCGGACGGGUGAGUAAAACGUGCAUAACCUACUUAUAAGACUGGGAUAACUUCGGGAAACCGGAGCUACCACCGGAUAAUAUUCUGAACCGCAUGGUUCAAAAGGGAAAGACGGUCUUGCUGUCACUCAUAGAUGGAUCCGCGCUGCACUAGCUAGUUGGUAAGGUCACGGCUUACCAAGGCAACGAUGCAUAGCCGACCUGAGAGGAUGAUCUGCCGCUGUGGAACUGAGAAACGGUCCGUACUCCUACGGACGGCAGCGGUAGCAAGUCUUCCGCGAUGCGCAAAAGCUUGACCGAGCACCCACGCGUGAGUGCUAGAAGGCUUCGGAUCGUAGAACGCAGUUAUUAGGGAAGAACAUAUAUGUAAGUGACUGUGCCCAGCUGCACGGUGCCUACUCAGAAAGCGCCGGCUAAGUCCGUG
rnacentral:rRNA from 1 species